GUGGCUAUAGGACAGUGGCAGUCCGGCAGACUGUGGAUCUGCUUACGGGGGUUCGAUUCCCCCUGGUCACA
rnacentral:tRNA from 2 species